AAGUGUUAAAAUCGCGGUUAAAGAUCAAAAAUUGAUCAAAGAUCUAAAAGAUUGAGAUUUAUCUUCAAGAAGAUAGAUCUAUAAUGAGAAGAAAGGUUCAAAACUGAUUUUGAUGGAUAUCUAUAGAGGUCGGACACGUGUGUGCCUUAGGAACCUUCAGAUCUAGGAUUAUCAGUUGUGGUGUAUUUCAACUCACGCAAG
rnacentral:lncRNA from 1 species